rnacentral:rRNA from 1 species
UGGGGAAUAUUGGACAAUGGGCGAAAGCCUGAUCCAGCCAUGCCGCGUGUGUGAAGAAGGUCUUCGGAUUGUAAAGCACUUUAAGUUGGGAGGAAGGGCAGUAAAUUAAUACUUUGCUGUUUUGACGUUACCGACAGAAUAAGCACCGGCUAACUCUGUGCCAGCAGCCGCGGUAAUACAGAGGGUGCAAGCGUUAAUCGGAAUUACUGGGCGUAAAGCGCGCGUAGGUGGUUCGUUAAGUUGGAUGUGAAAUCCCCGGGCUCAACCUGGGAACUGCAUUCAAAACUGACGAGCUAGAGUAUGGUAGAGGGUGGUGGAAUUUCCUGUGUAGCGGUGAAAUGCGUAGAUAUAGGAAGGAACACCAGUGGCGAAGGCGACCACCUGGACUGAUACUGACACUGAGGUGCGAAAGCGUGGGGAGCAAAACAGGAU